rnacentral:tmRNA from 1 species
GGGGGUGUCUUGGUUUCGACCGGGGGCCGUAGCGUGUGGUGGCAUGUCGGAGAUGAUGGUUGGCUCCGUAAAAAUCCAUUAAAAAAUUAAACGGCAAGAAAAAUAAAGCUGUUGCGACUCUGUACGUCGACAAUGUCGUGAGGAAUCUCGAUUUUGGCGGUGUUAUGAGUAAAGCUGCGUAGAUUGACGCGGCGCAUCAACUGCGGAAUACUCGCUACCGCAGAUCUGGUGUCGAUUAGCGGGUAAAAUUCGGGGCGGACCGGCACGCUUCGGGUGGAUUAAAAAUCGCCGGUUAGGCUGCGGUGAUCGCGUUUAUUCGAGUGCUACAGCUGAAAGCAAACGAUAAACUAAACAUGUAGAGGCCAUAGGCGAACGUUCACGGGACGCGGGUUCGACUCCCGCCACCUCCACCA